CCUGAAGAAUCAAGACCAGUGCUUAUUAAUAAGUGAUCAAUCAGUGUUUUUACAUUGUGACUAAUGUUUGGAGACCGAUCAAGGAGAAAGUGGGCCAAAGGGAAAACAAUGGCAUCAGUACCUUCCAUUGGUUGCCUGCUGGCCAAAAAUCAGUAUUAUCGAAAGGCUAGUAUUUCUUCAGUUAGCUCUUUAGCUGAUCCUGUUAACAUUAUACCUGAUGACAAAUUCCAAC
rnacentral:lncRNA from 1 species